AUUUUCUUUAAUGUUUGGUUUCAAAAGGAAAAAGGCCACAUUUUAGUGUUUUUUUAAAUUGCUAGGAUGGCAAAAACUUGUGUCGUUUGUGCCGCAUCAUGAUAAAAAGGUGAUUCAAGCCGAUCUUUUCACAAGAUUUCUGAUGCACUGGUUAAAAACACAGCAGCCGAUAAUUCAGUUAAUUUACCAAGUGAUUUACCCUUCAAAGCUGCAGGGGUAGCUUUCCUGAAGAGUGCAAAAACUUCUUUAGCUUCCAAAAUGGUAUAUAGUACAAACAGUGAAGCUAAUAUAGACAAAUCUGAUCAUUCAUCAUCAACAAUAACUGCAUCUAAGAUUAAUAGUUCUACAGUAACCGUGGGGUCUAGGUCAACAAUUACUAUUUCUCAUCCAAGCCGUUUUUGUUUAACUGCUACACAUUCCCUGACUCUGCCAAGGAAAAGGGUAAAAUCAAAAUGAUAUCCUGAGGACCUAAGCACUGAUGAUUCCACCGUUUCAAAAGCUAAAUCACUUGUUACCAAAUUAUGGAAAAAAAAUAAAGAACAAAAAAUUAAAAUUCGAAGAUUGCAAUAAACAAAUUUGCGCCAAAGAAAUUGAAUUAGAUGUCUCAAGUCAUUAUUAAAAUACUUAAGAAAUAAUAACAUGAUUUUCGAAAA